rnacentral:tRNA from 1 species
GGAGUUGUAGAUUGGUGGUAGAGUGCUCACCUAGCAUGUGUGAGGCCCUGGGUUCAAUCCUCAGCAACACAU